AUCACUUCUCAGCCUUUUGGCUAAGAUCAAAUUUAGUAUCUGUUCUUAUAAAAAUAAGAUGAAGUUUCUGCUGUACUUUACCUAUAUAACCUUA
rnacentral:snRNA from 1 species